GGGAGGCAGCAGUGAGGAAUAUUGGACAAUGGGCGCAAGCCUGAUCCAGCCAUGCCGCGUGAGUGAUGAAGGCCUUAGGGUUGUAAAGCUCUUUCGCUCGGGACGAUAAUGACGGUACCGAGAUAAGAAGCCCCGGCUAACUUCGUGCCAGCAGCCGCGGUAAUACGAAGGGGGCUAGCGUUGUUCGGAAUUACUGGGCGUAAAGCGCGUGUAGGCGGGUCUUUAAGUCAGGGGUGAAAUGCCAAGGCUCAACCUUGGAACUGCCUUUGAUACUGGAGACCUUGAGUCCGGGAGAGGUGAGUGGAAUUGCGAGUGUAGAGGUGAAAUUCGUAGAUAUUCGCAAGAACACCAGUGGCGAAGGCGGCUCACUGGCCCGGAACUGACGCUGAGAUGCGAAAGCGUGGGGAGCAAACAGGAUUAGAUACCCUUGUAGUCG
rnacentral:rRNA from 1 species